rnacentral:rRNA from 1 species
GAUGAACGCUGGCGGCGUGCCUAAUACAUGCAAGUCGAGCGAACAGACGAGGAGCUUGCUCCUCUGACGUUAGCGGCGGACGGGUGAGUAACACGUGGAUAACCUACCUAUAAGACUGGGAUAACUUCGGGAAACCGGAGCUAAUACCGGAUAAUAUAUUGAACCGCAUGGUUCAAUAGUGAAAGACGGUUUUGCUGUCACUUAUAGAUGGAUCCGCGCCGCAUUAGCUAGUUGGUAAGGUAACGGCUUACCAAGGCAACGAUGCGUAGCCGACCUGAGAGGGUGAUCGGCCACACUGGAACUGAAACACGGUCAAGACUCCUACGGGAGGCAGCAGAAGGGAAUCUUCCGCAAGGGGCGAAAGCCUGACGGAGCAACGCCGCGUGAGUGAUGAAGGUCUUCGGGUCGUAAAACUCUGUUAUUAGGGAAGAACAAAUGUGUAAGUAACUAUGCACGUCUUGACGGUACCUAAUCAGAAAGCCACGGCUAACUACGUG